UAAGUAAACUCUAAAUAUUAUUGAAUCCCCACUACAUUAUCGGAAGAUAAACAUUUUUAAUGUGAGCCAAAUUGUCCAAUGUCAUUUAUAGAAAUAAAUAUAAUGGAUACAAUAGAUAUUGCUAUUGAUCAAGUUAUAACAUUGAAAAAUUAAUUUUUUGUUUAGAAGAACAUUUUCACUGACAGAUAAUCCCUUAACCAUACCAUUUCAAUGAGUUACCUAAUUACUUACAUUCAGUACCUAUUAUUAAGAAUCAAGGUAGCUUACAAGGGAAAGGUUUAUAAAAAAGAAAAGACGACUGAAGUUGAUUAUCUUUUAAAAUAAUACAAAUUUACUUUUUUU